UACGGAGGUCUCAAGCGUUGUUCGGAAUCAUUGGGCGUAAAGGGUGCGUAGGCGGCGCUGUAAGUCGGGUGUGAAAUUUCGGAGCUUAACUCCGAAACUGCAUUCGAUACUGCGGUGCUUGAGGACUGGAGAGGAGACUGGAAUUCAUGGUGUAGCAGUGAAAUGCGUAGAGAUCAUGAGGAAGACCAGUGGCGAAGGCGGGUCUCUGGACAGUUCCUGACACUGAGGCACGAAGGCCAGGGGAGCAAACGGG
rnacentral:rRNA from 1 species